AGAGACAGCCAUCUUGCUCAUUAUGCAACCUGCUCCCAUGUCGGGUAUAUAAAUAUAAAUAUAUAAAAAUAAAUAAAUAUGUAUGUACAUAAAUGUAUGUAUGUAUCUAAUGUAUAUACAGUAUGGUAAGAACAGCAUCACAAUAGCAUCAAGCAUAUAACCAGUAACUCCCAUCUAAUUAUGUGGGUGCAGCCAUGACUACAUGAUAACAUAAAAAAAGACAGCAGAAUGAGCUCUAUGGAUGAGGG
rnacentral:lncRNA from 1 species